rnacentral:rRNA from 1 species
AAGACUAACUACUGCGAAAGCAUUCCACAAGGAUGUUUUCAUUAAUCAAGAACGAAAGUUAGGGGAUCGAAGACGAUCAGAUACCGUCGUAGUCUUAACCAUAAACUAUGCCGACUAGGGAUCAGUGGAUGUUCAAUUAUAUUACGACUCCAUUGGCACCUUAUGGAGAAAUCAUAAGUCUUUGGGUUCCGGGGGGAGUAUGGUCGCAAGGCUGAAACUUAAAGGAAUUGACGGAAGGGCACCACCAGGAGUGGAGCCUGCGGCUUAAUUUGACUCAACACGGGGAAAC